UCCGAUAUCUGCUUUACACGGGUGAAAACAAAUUCUUGCACCAAGAGAGCAGUUAUGAGUAAUUAUUUUGAUAAUUUUCAGGAUAUAACUGAUUAAGUGGAGAAAAUAUAUUCCCUUAUAGCUAGAAGUGGUGCCAACAACUUAUUCCAUAAAAUUAUGUCCAGUAUAUAGCAUCUAAGCUGGUUGGUUGAAUUCUAUUAUAAUAAGAGAAAUAUGUUAGAAAUGGCACAUAAAAAUCUCUGGACUGUGUAACUAUUCUGUCAAGGCAACAGAAUAUCUUUUGAAAUCUAAGGUGACAGAGUUUGAUACAUGAAGAUUCAUAUUCAUAAAAGAUUUUUAGGCAAAAUAGACAACAGGAAUGGAUCAGUAUAUUCUGUCAGGAUAAUGGCUGAGUCAUGUACAGUGCAGCAUUACUGUCAAAGAUUGCUUGCACUGUCUACUUGUUCUAUAGCAAGUGAAAAUCUGUUUGAAAAUAUAUGGACGAAAGGAGAGAGUGAAACAGAAGGCCUGAAUUUCUGUUGAAACACUACAGCAUAUGGGAAACUACAAGACAUCAAAGGCAGGACUGGAACUUCAGCAGCUGGGUCACUGGCUCUGUCUUUUGUUUCUGAAGGUGGAAUCCUGACAUCAGCUGAGUUUUCAAAGAUGGUUUUCAGCACACAUUCCUUGCUUGUGACUCUAAAUUAUGAAAUAUUUGUCUGAAUUUUUUCUAUUGCACAUGAAAAUAUACAGAAUAGAUAUCAUAUUGGACUGAAUUUUUGAGCACUAAUUUUAUCAUAAUCCAGCAGUUUGCAUUGCUGUUACAGACAGGUAGUGGUUGUAGGCAAACAAAACUGUCUCAAGGUACUUGCUGCACCUUUUGAUGACUACCAGCAGUUUUGGAAAUAUACUGCUCAUGCAUUUUAAUGCAUUUUGGUGACAUAUUUGUUGUAGGAAGGUCCACACUGAAGGAGUUCAUGAAGGGCCAUCUCCUGUGGCUGGCACCCCACAGUGAACAGGGAAGCAGGGUGAGGAGGAAGGAGCAUCAGAAACAAUGUACAUUGAACAGGCUGCAAUCCCCAUUCUCCACACCCCUGUGCUUCCCCUGGGGGAGAAGAGAGAAGAAUUGGGAGUGAAAAUGAGCCUGAGAAGAGAGAUGGGCUGGUUUCGUUUGGGAUGGAGACUGUUUUCUUCAUAGAAGCUCUUAUGGUGCUGCAUUUUUUCAACAGACCUUUGUUUUACCUACAGCUGAGCAUCAGGGAAUUUCCUGCCUCCCACUCUGCCCCACUUGUGAGGAGGCUGGGGGUGCACAAGAGGCUGGGAGGUGACACAGUGGGGACAGCUGACCCCAGCAGACC